rnacentral:rRNA from 1 species
AACGAACGCUGGCGGCGUGGAUAAGACAUGCAAGUCGAACGGGACAGGUAGCAAUAUCUGUCUAGUGGCGAACGGGUGCGUAACACGUGGGCAAUAUACCUGGAAGAGCGGGAUAGCCCGGGGAAACUCGGAUUAAUACCGCAUGUGACAACGGGGCGGCUUCGCCCUGUUUUCAAAGGUGGGGACCGCAAGGCCUGCCGCGUCCAGAUUGGCCCGCGUCCUAGCCGCUAGUUGGCGGGGUAAAAGCCCACAAAGGCGACGACGGGUAGCUGGUCUGAGAGGACGACCAGCCACACUGGAACUGAAACACUGUCCAGACACCUACGGGUGGCAGCAGUCGAGAAUCUUUCACAAUGGGGGAAACCCUGAUGGAGCGACGCCGCGUGGAGGAUAAAGGUCUUCGGAUUGUAAACUCCUGUCAUGAAAGAACAAGCGAUGCGGGUGAACAGCCCGCAAAGUUGAUAGUAUUUCAAGAGGAAGGGACGGCUAACUUCGUGCCAGCAGCCGCCGUAAAAC